rnacentral:rRNA from 1 species
GCUCAGAAACUACAAAGGAAGUUGACGGGGGCCCGGCACAAGCGGUGGAGCAUGUGGUUUUAAUUCGAUGAUACGCGAGGAACCUUUACCUGGGCUCAAAUGUAUGUUUGACGUAUUCUGAAAGGGAUACUUCUUCGGACAAUAUACAAGGUGCUGCAUGGUUGUCGUCAGCUCGUGCCGUGAGGUGUCGGGUUAAGUCCCAUAACGAGCGCAACCCCUAUCAUUAGUUGCCAUCAGGUCAAGCUGGGGACUCUAAUGAAACUGCCUACGCAAGUAGUGAGGAAGGUGGGGAUGACGUCAAAUCAGCACGGCCCUUACGUCCAGGGCUACACACGUGCUACAAUGGCCGGUACAAAGGGCAGCUACCUGGUGACAGGAUGCUAAUCUCAAAAGCCGGUCUCAGUUCGGAUCGGAGUCUGCAACCCGACUCCGUGAAGCUGGAAUCGCUAGUAAUUCGAGAUCAGCAUGCUCGGGUGAAUGCGUUCCCGGGCCUU